rnacentral:rRNA from 1 species
UACAGAGGUCUCAAGCGUUGUUCGGAUUCAUUGGGCGUAAAGGGUGUGUAGGUGGCGCGCUAAGUCGGGUGUGAAAUUUCGGAGCUUAACUCCGAAACUGCAUUCGAUACUGGCGUGCUUGAGGACUGGAGAGGAGACUGGAAUUCAUGGUGUAGCAGUGAAAUGCGUAGAUAUCUGGAGGAACACCGGUGGCGAAGGCGGCAUCCUGGACCGGUAUUGACGCUGAUGCGCGAAAGCCAGGGGAGCAAACGGG